UACGGAGGGUGCAAGCGUUAAUCGGAAUUACUGGGCGUAAAGCGUGCGCAGGCGGUUAUGCAAGACAGAUGUGAAAUCCCCGGGCUCAACCUGGGAACUGCAUUUGUGACUGCAUGGCUAGAGUACGGUAGAGGGGGAUGGAAUUCCGCGUGUAGCAGUGAAAUGCGUAGAUAUGCGGAGGAACACCGGUGGCGAAGGCGACGUCCUGGACCGGCAUUGACGCUGAGGCGCGAAAGCGUGGGGAGCGAACAGG
rnacentral:rRNA from 1 species